rnacentral:lncRNA from 1 species
AUGGCGCCCAAAGAGGGCGCCGAGUACAGCCAGAGGGGCCUAUGGCCUGAAAGAUGCGCUCCUGGCCAAGAACCAGCGGCUGAGGGCCCCUUUCCUUCGCAUCCUUCCCACCCGCCAUUUUGCUGCACACACGCAAAGGCUGCCCCUGCGGCACAGGCACUGCCAUCGGCCUCCUCCCCGCAUCCUGGGCUCCAACCCCCUCCUCAGCCCACGGGCCCGCCCCUYGCCUCCUGCCACGAUGGCACCGCCUGCCUCGCGCUCUCCGGGCAGCCCAAAACGCACACAGCCCUCCACGCGCCCCCCUCACAAGAGAGGCCCAAAGGGCAACUAUCACUUCCCCCACCUGCCCACGGCACUCCACCAGCACCCAGGCUUGCCUUCUCCUCCAGCAACCUCCAGGUGCGCUCGCCACUCCUCUUACACCUGUGCUGCCACCACCACCGCCCCUCAGGGCCUUUUCUGCAGAGCUGCUCCUCAGCCAGCCCAGCCCCAGGCCGCGUGGUGGAGGGGUGCUGGUCCACAGCAGGCACCGGAUCGUGCGUGCCCUCCCCUUCCGCUCCGCGAGGUUUCUGCCAGCACACUUCCCCAGCCUGCGGACACCCUCCCCUCCAGGGCAUCAGACAAUGGCCUUCCCACCCUCCCCACUCUUUGAAGUCACCCACAACCCGGCGGGAGGUGCCCCCUGCUCACCACCUCCACCCAAGCCCUUCCUUCGCACCUUCACCACCAUCAGCCCCAACACUCACCCCAAGCAACACCGUCAGCACCUGCCCCUUGGGGGCGCUUCCUCCUGCCUUUUGCAAGACACUGGCCCAGCCGCCUCGCAGCCCACUUCUCUCCUCCAUGCCUCACCCAGGGGCUACCACGAGGCUGCAGGAGACUCUGUCACGGGCCUUGCUAACCUCCGGGCAAACAACAUGCACUGCUCUCCCCUUGGCCUACGUGGCCACACAGCUCCUCAGUGCUAGCUCCCAGCUGGGGCCCGGCACCGCUCGCCCUUGCACAACCCCCCAGCUGCCUCCCACCACCUCCUCUACGCUGCUGCCAUUUCGCCUCCUUUCCCACCCCARCCAAUGGCACAUUGCCUUUCCAAGGGCAACACAGCAUUYUGCCUCACRGGCAACCAUAGCCAGCUCCCCAUGGCCCUCUGACUUCUUCAAACCUGCUGCAAUGUCGCAGCAACACUGUGUCAGCACACCUGUCACAGCUUACCUGCUCCCCCUUCCCAAGUGCACAACAUGUCACAGCUGA